AGAUUGAAGGGCUGCAGUAUAUUGACUGUACAAAGGUAGCAUAAUCAUUAGUCAUUUAAUUGAUGACUUGUAUGAAGGAUUGGAUGAAAUAUAAACUGUCUUUUUAUUAAUAAUAGAAUUUAAUUUUUUAAUUAAAAAGUUAAAAUAUUUUAAAAAGACGAGAAGACCCUAUAGAGUUUUAUAAAUAAAAUAAUUAAGAUUAUUUAAUUAAAUAAAAUUAAGAUUAUAUUAUUUAUUUUGUUGGGGUGACAGAAAAAUAUAUUUAACUUUUUUUUUAUUUAAAACAUUUAUAAGUGGUUAAAUGAUCCAAUAUUAUUGAUUAUAAGAAAAAAUUACCUUAGGGAUAACAGCGUAAUUUUUUUUUUUAGUUCAAAUAAGAAAAAGAGUUUGCGACCUCGAUGUUGGAUUAAGAUAAAAUUUAAAUGCAGAAG
rnacentral:rRNA from 1 species